ensembl:lncRNA
CUGCACUUUAUUUAUGCCUAAAGGCUAAGGCAAGGAACCAGGGAACUCAGGUGACAACAGGGAACAGGGAACACGCAGGACGAACAACCACAAUGAUAGCACCAGGAACAAAGGAAAGACAAGGGCUUAAGUAACAAACACAACGAGGAACAGCUGAGACACAUUAGGGGAGGGAACAGUAAUCAACACAGGAGGGAAACACACCAAAACACGACAGACCAUGACAGUACCCCCCCCUUAAGGGUCGCCUCCCAGGCGACCCACGACAAGCAAAAAAACAAAGAAAGUCACACCCCAAAACGGGUGGGUGGAGGGGUGCCAGGCGGGGGGAAUAAAAAAAAAUGGACUGGGGCAGAGCAGAGGGACGUCAGGCGGGCGGCCAGAAAACUGCCCCAGGGCAUGGCAGGGAGCCUCAGGUGGACGGCCUGGGGGGCAAGCAGAGGCAGAGUGAAGGCGGAACCCUUCAGGAGGCCGACGGCAAGGACGAUGAGGGCUCAGUCCCUCAGGAGGCCUGCAGCGGCACGGAAACCCCUCUGAAGGCCAGCAGUGGCGAAGGCGGAAACCUUCAGGAGGCCGGCGAAGGCGAGGUAGAGGGCGGGUCCCCUCAGGAGGAAGGCGAGGUGGAGGGCGGGUCCCCUCUGGAGGAAGGCCAGGAAGAGGGCGGGUCCCCUCUGGAGGAAGGCCAGGAAGAGGGCGGGUCCCCUCUGGAGGAAGGCCAGGUAGAGGGCGGGUCCCCUCUGGUGGAAGGCCAGGUAGAGGGCGGGUCCCCUCUGGAG